rnacentral:rRNA from 1 species
UACGUAGGGGGCAAGCGUUGUCCGGAAUCAUUGGGCGUAAAGAGCGUGUAGGCGGCCCGGUCAGUCUGGUGUGAAAUCUUGAGGCUCAACCUCAAGCUGUCAUCGGAUACUGCCGGGCUAGAAUCCGGAAGAGGAGAGUGGAAUUCCUGGUGUAGCGGUGGAAUGCGCAGAUAUCAGGAGGAACAUCCGUGGCGAAGGCGGCUCUCUGGUACGGUAUUGACGCUGAGACGCGAAAGCGUGGGGAGCGAACAGG